CGCGUAGGUUGGUUUUUUAAGUCGGAUGUGAAAUCCCCGGGCUUAACCUGGGAACUGCACCCGAUACUGGACGACUAGAGUGCGAGAGAGGGAGGUAGAAUUCCACGUGUAGCGGUGAAAUGCGUAGAUAUGUGGAGGAAUACCGGUGGCGAAGGCGGCCUCCUGGCUCGACACUGACGCUGAGGUGCGAAAGCGUGGGGAGCAAACA
rnacentral:rRNA from 1 species